CGAAGGGGGCGAGCGUUGUUCGGAGUUACUGGGCGUAAAGGGCGCGUAGGCGGCGCUCCAAGUUAGGCGUGAAAGCCCCGGGCUCAACCUGGGAAUUGCGCUUAAGACUGGAGUGCUCGAGUGCGGAAGAGGUGAGUGGAAUUCCCAGUGUAGAGGUGAAAUUCGUAGAUAUUGGGAAGAACACCAGUGGCGAAGGCGGCUCACUGGUCCGCAACUGACGCUGAGGCGCGAAAGCGUGGGGAGCAAACAGGAUUAGAUACCCUGGUAGUCCACGCCGUAAACGAUGAGUGCUAGACGUUGGGGGACUUAGUCCCUUGGUGUCGCAGCUAACGCAUGAAGCACUCCGCCUGGGGAGUACGGCCGCAAGGUUA
rnacentral:rRNA from 1 species